GACCUUCUCGGUGUAAACGAGGUGCUCUACCUAACUGAGCUAUAGCCCU
rnacentral:tRNA from 4 species